AUAUUGGAGCUUUUCGCCAUCUGGAUCCUGUUACUGAAGAUGUUGAUAUGCAUCCAGAAGAAAGAGGAGAAUUUUAACCACAGCAGUCAAGGCCAGCUUUCCUGAGUGGUCUCUGUACUGUGGGGCUGAUUACAAACCAGUCACUUCCAGACCCCGGCUGUCACAGAUUAAGCAGGGACAUUGCUGCAGAGGCCAUAGCUUUUCAUUGUGAGAUUAAAGCGAAGGCUACAGCCCUCUGGUUCAGCAGGUCCUGUAGGGAAGUGGCCCAAGUGGGUAUCAUAAUAAAGAAGGGAAAACAUGCAGGUUCAUGCUACUGUAAUAUAGACUGCACGGCAUGGCACCAAUGUUACUUCACUGUGGGGAACACAAGCCAAUGGUUUGGCCAACUUCCUCUUCCUUCCGCCUAUGGGGGCAAACCUCCCUCAGCAGCCACGCCAUUGGCUACCAGGGGCUUGGAGGAGUGGGGAGCAGCAGCCAAUAGCAGCCUCCUGCCAGGAUCCAGGGUGGGUGGGGAGGACUUCCUGUGCCCUGACUGGCUGCCUGCACCACACACUCCCCCCAGAGCAUGGUAGUGUGAGGGGAGGGGUGAACACGGGGUGGCAGGAGCAGACCUGGUCAAAGCAGGUCGGGAGCCGAUCCUGACUGCCUGAAUGGAGCCGCUACACAGGAUCCAGUGCACUCCGGGUUCAAGGCUGCACCCCCACACACAAACACACACACAUACACACACCCCACACACCUACCCUAUCAGUGUACAGUACGAAUGUGUGAGGGAAUGAGUGGAUUUACUCCGGAAAGUAUACUUUGAGUGCUCACAGGGGUUAAAAAGCACCAUUUAAAUGCAGUUCCUUUGCCAUUUGCCAGCUAUCAUUUCCCACCUCUUUCCCCUUCUUUGGCUUCAUUGUCCUCUUCUGCAUG